GGACCGAGCACCUGGUGUGUAUGGAUCUGAACAUCCUCAUCGAUUACUUUAGGGAGGUGUGGUCCCAGACAUCAUGGCUCCCUCACUGCAUCCCAGCGUAGAAAGGAAGCAACACAAGGAAAGAGGCCGUCCGUCUCUUUAGCCUGGAGCUCCCAAACCGCACAGCCGGCCAGUUCGCGGUGGCCUUUUAUUAUGAUGUCAGCACUUCACUUAAAGAGCAUUCAAUAUCUCCAGGACGGUUGUUGGUGGAACAUCAAUAGAAUAAUACAGACACAAACUGGAUGGCUAUUCCUCAUAGCCGUGAAGUAAAGCAAUUUGAACACUGGGCCCUAGUAUGACCUUUGAUUAUGAGAGGAAUACAGCGGUGCUCAUAUCCCAGGCCUCUCGGUUCCCUCGCAACAUGAUGAAUGGGACACCUCAGCUGCAGGACAAAACAACUAUUCGAGGAUCCAGGGUGACACACACACACACACA